AUUGAACGCUGGCGGCAUGCCUAACACAUGCAAGUCGAACGAGUGGCGGACGGGUGAGUAAUGUCUGGGAAACUGCCUGAUGGAGCGGGUUAACUACUGGAAACGGUAGCUAAUACCGCAUACCAUCAGAUGUGCCCAGAUGGGAUUAGCUUGUUGGUGGGUUAACGGCUCACCAAGCCCACGAUCCCUAGCUGGUCUGAGAGGAUGACUGGCCAAGAAGGAACUGAUACACGGUUCAGCAUCCUACGGGAGGCAGCAGUGGGGAAUAAUGGACAAUGGGUGCAAGCCUGAUGCAGCCAUGCCGAGUGUAUGAAGAAGGCCUGCGGGUUGUAAAGGACUUUCAGCGGGGAGGCGUUAGGCGCAGAAGAAGGACCGGCUAACUCCGUGCCAGCAGCCGCGGUAAUAC
rnacentral:rRNA from 1 species